AUGCCCAUUCUUGUUUAUCCUUCUUGUUUAGCCUUUGUGUUACAUUCAUGUCACCAAAGUAGCAUGUCAAAGUUUGGUCAUUAUGUGCUUCAAGUGAAUGUUGCUAAAACAUGUACACAAAUUGUCCAAAUUCAGCAUCAUUUAUUCAAAUUUCAUAAGUCAAUAUGCAACUACAUUCAAAAUUCAAACUAA